rnacentral:rRNA from 1 species
GACGGAGGAUGCAAGCGUUAUCCGGAAUUAUUGGGCGUAAAGCGUCCGCAGGUGGCCUAUCAAGUCUGCUGUCAAAGACCGGGGCUUAACCCCAGAAAGGCAGUGGAAACUGAAAGGCUAGAGGAUGGUAGGGGCAGAGGGAAUUCCCAGUGUAGAGGUGAAAUUCGUAGAUAUUGGGAAGAACACCGAUGGCGAAGGCAGCCAUCUGGACCGACACUGACGCUGAGGCGCGAAAGCGUGGGGAGCAAACGGG